rnacentral:lncRNA from 1 species
UUCUUGCAGAUCGUAUCCGAAUCAAGAUUAUCGAUAAAGCAGUUCUUGAAAACAUUAGUCACAGAGAUAGACGAAGAAGACACGACUCUAAUGAGCAACAUCAACACUCUCCUUCAACCAUACAACUUAUCAUUCACCUCAAAGUACUCCAAGAUCAUUCAGUCCCACUUGGAAUCCAUCAUAAGCCAAACAAUAUACCAAGACUUCGAGAACUGCGUCUUCCAGAAGAACGGUAAGCCCAAACUACUCGAUCCAGAACAAGAACGUCAAGCUAAAUUCUCAUCGUUUGCUUCCUUGAGAAACUUGAGCUGGAACGAGGUCUUGAAAAAGGGCACAAAAUACUACAGCGAGGAGUUUAGUAGUUUCUGCGACGAGAAGAUGAGUUUGAUCAUUACAACGUUGAAGUGGACGAGACCCUGGUCUGAAGAAAUGCUUCAAGCGUUCUUUGUAGCUGCGAAAUGUGUGUGGUUGCUUCAUUUGCUUGCCUUCUCGUUUAGGCCAGCGUUAGGGAUCUUGAGGGUGGAAGAGAACAGAGUGUUUGAGUCGAGUUAUAUGGAAGAUAUGGGUGGAGGAGAUCGAGAGAGGAUACAGAGAUCGUCAGCGUCACGUGGACAAGGGCGGGUUAAGGUUAUGGUGAUGCCAGGGUUUUAUAUACAAGAUAGGGUUUUAAGAUGUAAGGUUCUUUGCAGGUACAAGUCAUUAGGGUGAAGAGUGUCACACACUGUAAUUUUUAUGUAGCUUUUAUUUAUUGCGUUUCUUCUUAAUCUUUUAUGAGUCAGAUUUUUCAAAAGUCAACGUUGUGGAAACAAAAGGUUAGGAGGAAACUGGGGGGAAAGCUGCGGCUGAAAAAGAUAGACACAGGAGUUGAAAAGACAUACAAUAUGGGCCAAAAGUACCAGAUCGAAGGCCCAUAACCUUUUUGUUGACACCAUGUUUUUGUGUGUUGGCCCAUUAAAUUUAUGAUUAGGAAGCUCUUGUAAUCUAUAGACUAGUACAAGUCCAUAAACAUUAUGAGUUGGCAUCUUGUUAUUGGGGCAGAAGAGCACCUCCAUGCACAGGUCUUACGAGUUAUUGGGAGGUUCUUACCUUAGGGUUUUUAGCGGAAUAUAAGAACUCGUCUUUUAAUUUUUAGCUAAAAAAGUUAAGAACCGUCUCUUAAAACUCUUAUUUAAGAACCGGUUUUCAGUUUUUUUAGUUAAAAUUUAAGAGACAGAUUCUUAUAUUUUGUUAAAAUCCUCAUUUUAAGAACCUUCCAGUAAGAGUAUCUGAAAAUAAAAUCAAAAUCAGUAGUAGUUAAAAGUGGAAAGAGACCAUAUCAAACAAGAUACCCUUUAAAACUCCACUUGCCUUUUGUCAGUUUCUAAUAAGUGGUUAUAGUUAUUUCAUAAAAACUUCUCAACUUAAUAUUAUUUUAUGGUUAAAAAACGCAUUAUCAGUAUCUUGGGGCCGAGGGUGGUCUAAGUCAACAAUGUUGUUCAACUUUUUUCUGGUCAAGACAAUGUUCUUCAACUCUAAAUUUCAAUAAAACAUUCAGUAACUAUUACCAAAAGUCUGUCUCAAAGAAAAAAAAACUAAUGGCAAAUCAGGAUCAACUUUCUGUGAUUUUUUUCCGUAUCUAAUGCACUAACAUUUGAAAAAUUUAUUACGUUUCCAAUAAAAUAAGACAAAAAUCCUGACCUUGAAAUGUGGAAAAUAUAACUGAAAAAGUUAGUGAAAAAUCUAAAGACGCCAACGUCACUUUUACACCAUUAAUUCGUGAAAAAAAUAAAUAGACUAAUGGGAGAAGAGAACCAAAAGUGAAUGGGCUAAACUUCCCCCAAGUCUUUAAGACUCUUUUCUCUUUCUAUUCAUAGAGUUCAGACCGUAACGCCCAUCUUCUUGUCUGAAUCUCAAAAGCUUUUCCUCAACACGGAGAUGGCAGACGCUAAACCUAAAAGUCUGAAUAUUGUCAUGUUUCCUUUCAUGGCACAAGGCCAUAUCAUCCCUUUUGUUUCUUUAGCCCUUCGUUUAGAGAAGAUGAUCAAGAACAAGAACAGAGAAGACAACCUCAUCCUCUCUCUUGUCAACACUCCUUUGAACAUGCCCAAACUACGUUCCAAACUUCCUCCUGACUCCUCCAUAAAACUCAUCGAGUUGCCUUUCAACAGCUCCGACCACGGCCUCCCUCACGACGCCGAGAAUUUCGACUCUCUCCCUUACUCUCUCGUCAUCAGCCUCCUCGAAGCUUCAAGAUCCCUCCGUGAGCCCUUUCGAGACUUGAUCACUAGGAUCUUGAAAGAAGGAGAUGAUGUUGUGGUGAUCGGUGAUUUCUUCUUGGGAUGGAUCGGUGAGGUUUGCAAAGAGGUCGGUGUUUCUUCGUUUAUCUUUAGCGCUUCUGGUGCUUUUGGGUUAGGUUGUUAUAGAUCCAUAUGGCUUCACUUGCCGCACAAAGAAACCGAACAAGAUCAGUUUCUAUUACAUGAUUUCCAAGAAGCAGGGGAGAUUGAGAAGACUCAGUUGAACUACUUCAUGUUAGAAGCUGACGGAACCGAUGACUGGUCCUAAUCUUCUUCUUCCAUGGCUUCUUCUGAAACAAAAAUGAAGGGAAGAGAAAAAGAAGAAGCCAUAGCAAACAGUGUGAAGAUCAGGGCACUUCAAGCUGGUCUUAUGCAGAAGUCAAGCCCUUCCUCCACUUACAGUAUCAGAAUCCCUUCUUCAUCUUCUCCAGCUUCUCGUCCUCUCCCCAACCUCUCUGCUCAUGACUAUCCUGUUUUCACUCCUGUAAACUCUCUCUCUCCUUAUCUUUUUCUCAUCAUCUUUCUUGUCGGGUUCCAUGAUGUGUUUUUGCUUCACUUUUUCGCAUCUCUUUACUUGAUUGCUUUCGACAUUAUGUAUGGGAAUUUGAGUUUGUUAGCAUUUUAAACACAUUUUUUGAAAAUUAUCAUCGAGCCCGAGAUUUAUUGAUUUAAUCCGGUUUAGGCUCGCUAAUUUUGGUUUAUUUUAAGAAUUAGGAGAGAAUUAGAUUUCUUAAUUUAUUCAUAUAUUAUUCGGUUAAUAAUACAUUUAAUAAUUUAAAUUACUGUGAAGUAUUAAAAGACAAACAGUAAAAGACUUGGAUUUGGUAGAAUAGAACCAUUGUUAUUCUUGUUUUGUCCUUUAGCUGUCACACUGUAUUGAGUUUGGACACAAGUUACUGUGUUUUUUCCACUUUACACAAUUUUCUCUUCCAACUUAUCUCCUUGGUUUUGACACAGAGCUAUGAAGAUGAGCCUGUAUCUGCAUUUCAUCACAAGAAUCUCACACUAUCUGAAACUUGGGAUGAAUCUGGUGUUGGUUUAGUAGAAGGAGAUGAAGAACAAGACUUGAGACACACGUAUCACUCUGAUUCUCACAAAACCUCAACUUCAAGAAAGACUUUAACCCCUCAGCAAGAUUCCCAUGUUUACACCAUGUCGGACGCUCUUAGAUCCCCACCGUUACAUUUUUACACAACCGGUAGAAGUAACUGUGGUGGCUCGGUUGAUUUUAGAUCGGUCUCUUCUUGCAACGAGUACAAACAAAGAGGUUUUGAUACCAAGAGCUUGAAGAGCUCUAAUCUUGUUGUGCCCUUGACGGAUUCUCACUCCGUUGUUGUUGCUUCUCAGACAAGGAACCGUGGAGGUAGAGUGAUGUCUUGGUUGUUCCCCAAGUUAAAGAGGAAGCAAAAGAGUAGUAACUCAAUCUUUAACUCUCCUAGUAGAACCGAGAGAUCAGAAGAGGUUUCUCAUGAGGUGUUGAAAGACUCUGGUUCUUCUGGUGGCGAGAAGCUGAAGAGAGAGUUGAUGGAAGCAAACAGAAGCAGAGACGCUGCGUUAACUCAAGUUGAAGAGAUGAAAUCUUCGUUGGGAGAGUUCAGCGAGAAGCUUCAGUACUUGGAAAGUUACUGUGACGGUUUAAAGAAAGCUUUGAGACAAGCAACAGAAGUAGUCUCACAAGAGAAUAGUAACAAGGCAGUGAAGAAGACGAACUCAGAGAUGCCAAUGAGUGAAGAGGUGAUGGUUGAAGGGUUCUUGCAGAUCGUAUCCGAAUCAAGAUUAUCGAUAAAGCAGUUCUUGAAAACAUUAGUCACAGAGAUAGACGAAGAAGACACGACUCUAAUGAGCAACAUCAACACUCUCCUUCAACCAUACAACUUAUCAUUCACCUCAAAGUACUCCAAGAUCAUUCAGUCCCACUUGGAAUCCAUCAUAAGCCAAACAAUAUACCAAGACUUCGAGAACUCCGUCUUCCAGAAGAACGGUAAGCCCAAAC